UACGUAGGUGGCAAGCGUUGUCCGGAAUUAUUGGGCGUAAAGCGCGCGCAGGUGGUUCUUUAAGUCUGAUGUGAAAGCCCACGGCUCAACCGUGGAGGGUCAUUGGAAACUGGGGAACUUGAGUGCAGAAGAGGAAAGUGGAAUUCCAAGUGUAGCGGUGAAAUGCGUAGAGAUUUGGAGGAACACCAGUGGCGAAGGCGACUUCCUGGUCUGUAACUGACACUGAGGCGCGAAAGCGUGGGGAGCAAACAGG
rnacentral:rRNA from 1 species